rnacentral:lncRNA from 1 species
UGUAUUGCCAGCUAAAUUCGGCGUUGAGCUCCUCUAUUGCCUCUGAUAUCUAGAGCUACUCUUUAACCGUAUUAGGGUUUUGAAUUGAAUAUUACGGUUUUGUUUUGCUAGUGAUUGUUUUUAGCCAGUUGAAUUUGCUGUAUUCCAAUUCUAUUAGAUAUUUGGCAGUUUUAUGUACUCAGUUUAUUAUCUCUUAUUAACCAAAAUUUUUAUAUUUUCGCAAAAAAGAGAAAAAAAAAGGGUGUGGGAGUGGAAAACUGUAACAUUAAGCUUGAGGCUUCUUUUGCAACAGCAGUAUCUACCAAUUAAUAUAAUAAACAUCACAGUAAAGGUGUGCAGUGCAGCCUUUAUUUUAUGUCAUUGUUAUUGACAUGUUGAUGUGUGACCUAAAUUCCAGGGCACUGCCUCUCACCAUGUGCACACCAAUUCAUUAACAGGUUACCAAAGGUUGUAGGCUUUAGCCAAGCAACCCUUUUUCCCUCUUCACAGAGGCAGACUGAUGGUCCAGACACUAGAGAUGCAGCUAACUUUGUUUCUAAUGGGGCAAACAUGCAUGUACAUAAUUUUCAUGGGGCUUUCUCUAUUGUUUUGAUGAUCAACAGUCUGAGCCAACAGGGAAACCUUGACCUCUCUUG